rnacentral:rRNA from 1 species
AUUGAACGCUGGCGGCAUGCUUUACACAUGCAAGUCGAACGGUAACAGGCCGCAAGGUGCUGACGAGUGGCGAACGGGUGAGUAAUGCAUCGGAACGUGCCCAGCCGUGGGGGAUAACUACUCGAAAGAGUAGCUAAUACCGCAUACGAUCUAUGGAUGAAAGCGGGGGACCGUAAGGCCUCGCGCGAUUGGAGCGGCCGAUGUCAGAUUAGGUAGUUGGUGGGGUAAAGGCUCACCAAGCCAACGAUCUGUAGCUGGUCUGAGAGGACGACCAGCCACACUGGGACUGAGACACGGCCCAGACUCCUACGGGAGGCAGCAGUGGGGAAUUUUGGACAAUGGGCGCAAGCCUGAUCCAGCAAGGCCGCGUGCAGGAAGAAGGCCUUCGGGUUGUAAACUGCUUUUGUACGGAACGAAACGGCUCUGGUUAAUACCCGGGGCUAAUGACGGUACCGUAAGAAUAAGCACCGGCUAACUACGUG